rnacentral:rRNA from 1 species
AUUGAACGCUGGCGGAAUGCUUUACACAUGCAAGUCGAACGGCAGCACGGGGGCAGCCCUGGUGGCGAGUGGCGAACGGGUGAGUAAUACAUCGGAACGUGCCCGGUCGUGGGGGAUAACGUAGCGAAAGUUACGCUAAUACCGCAUACGAUCUGAGGAUGAAAGCGGGGGACCUUCGGGCCUCGCGCGAUCGGAGCGGCCGAUGUCAGAUUAGGUAGUUGGUGGGGUAAAGGCCUACCAAGCCGACGAUCUGUAGCUGGUCUGAGAGGACGACCAGCCACACUGGGACUGAGACACGGCCCAGGCUCCUACGGGAGGCAGCAGUGGGGAAUUUUGGACAAUGGGCGCAAGCCUGAUCCAGCCAGUCCGCGUGCAGGACGAAGGCCUUCGGGUUGUAAACUGCUUUUGUACGGAACGAAAAGGCUCUGGCUAAUACCUGGGGCUCAUGACGGUACCGUAAGAAUAAGCACCGGCUAACUACGUG